GUCACGCGCGCGCUCUUCUUCUGGUUCUAUUCUGACGUGUUUGACAGAACGUCACUCUGACGCGGCGGCGCCCCCUGCUGGCGAGCAGCGGCAGCUCAACACAUUACACCAUCAGGAAGGAUUAUAAAAACCCAUUUCAAAGAAAUUCCGGGUAUCUCUUGUUCUAUAAUGCCACAAUAAUGAGGAAGACCAAUUGUUCAGAAGACCAUCUUUCAGGUGAUUUUGGAGCUCUUUAUGCUUUUAUCUGCUAAAAAAACUAUAAAACUGCUGAUUUCCUUCUCCAGCCCACAGACACAAGACCAUCCUCAAGUGCUUUACUGACCGUGAUAUUCCUGGGACUGGUCAGACAACACGCCUGAAUGAGGAGAAAGAGGAGAAACAGUGGAUCCAGCAACAACAACAACACAGACCCUUCAUUCACUCCUCACUGACGACGGAGGAAAUUAAACUUGAACUUUUUCUUUUAAGGAAAUGUUUAAAAAAGUGAAACUUUCAUAUAUAUUUUAGGUUCAUUAGGUUCAUGUAAAGUAUGUUUUGUUUUGUUUUAAUUAGAGCUUAAAGCUCAUAAAAGUCAAAAUACAGUAUUUCAAAAUAUUUGAAAACCUGCAUAAAACGCAGAGCUGAGACACAACUCACAACUCCUGAGUAUCUUCCAGUAUAUAGAUAUAUAUAUAUUUACUCAUUUAGCAGGCACUUCAAUCCAAACAAGUACAUGCUGUAUAUUCUUAAUGCUACCAUUUUGAAAGUUACUUUUUUUAUAAACGAAUAUAAAUAUCAUUCCAUUGGUUGGUUACAUAUUAUUUGUUACAAUGAUUCUGUUACAGUGUUUCCAGUAAUAUUGUAAUAUUGCCUCAUAACUACAUUUUUAUUUUCAUGCUGUUUAAUGUCUAUACCUUCUAAACAGACAGUGAUUUUUUGCUGAAAGUGCUUGUCUAUGAAGGUUUGCCAGUUUUACAUCAAAGUUGCAUUUCGGUAAAAAAUCUGUCAACCUGCUGAAAUACUAAAAAAUGUUGUUCAAUUAUUUUAUAAAUAUAUAUGUAUGCAUAUACACCCUAA